AGUGAACGCUGGCGGUAGGCCUAACACAUGCAAGUCGAACGGCAGCACAGUAAGAGCUUGCUCUUACGGGUGGCGAGUGGCGGACGGGUGAGGAAUACAUCGGAAUCUACUUUUUCGUGGGGGAUAACGUAGGGAAACUUACGCUAAUACCGCAUACGACCUACGGGUGAAAGCUGGGGAUCUUCGGACCUUGCGCGAUUGAAUGAGCCGAUGUCGGAUUAGCUAGUUGGCGGGGUAAAGGCCCACCAAGGCGACGAUCCGUAGCUGGUCUGAGAGGAUGAUCAGCCACACUGGAACUGAGACACGGUCCAGACUCCUACGGGAGGCAGCAGUGGGGAAUAUUGGACAAUGGGCGCAAGCCUGAUCCAGCCAUACCGCGUGGGUGAAGAAGGCCUUCGGGUUGUAAAGCCCUUUUGUUGGGAAAGAAAAGCGGCAGGUUAAUACCCCGCUGUUCUGACGGUACCCAAAGAAUAAGCACCGGCUAACUUCGUG
rnacentral:rRNA from 1 species